AGAGCGAACUGCAGACAUUUUAGAAAGCAUGAAAGUACAAAGUUGUGCUGGUGUAAAAUGAAUGCAGUAUUACAAGGUGUACAAAUUCGGGCUUUCGAGCUGCUGCCACGAACAGGCUGCUGUUGGCUCGCUUGCUAGCUAAUUUGGGGAGAUGCAGAACUCGUGUUUAUCUCGCACAAACCCCGGGAGUGUGGAACGACCAAUGUCUUCUGCAGCUAUCGCCUUGCCCGAACAUCUGGAAAACAGUCUGCCAAAUAAAGCAACCCAGCCAUCCUUCGAUUAGGCGUAGCCUAACGGAAGACUUGAUAAAAAACUUAAUUAAACGCUA